rnacentral:rRNA from 1 species
GAUGAACGCUAGCGGGAGGCUUAACACAUGCAAGUCGAGGGGCAGCAUAGGGUAGCAAUACUCUGAUGGCGACCGGCAAACGGGUGAGUAACGCGUAUGCAACCUACCCUGUACAGGGGGAUAACCCGGAGAAAUUCGGACUAAUAUCCCGUAAUAAUAUCCGGAGGCAUCUUUGGAUAUUUAAAGUUCCGACGGUACGGGAUGGGCAUGCGUAACAUUAGCUGGUUGGUAAGGUAACGGCUUACCAAGGCUAUGAUGUUUAGGGGUCCUGAGAGGGUGGUCCCCCACACUGGUACUGAGACACGGACCAGACUCCUACGGGAGGCAGCAGUGAGGAAUAUUGGUCAAUGGGCGCAAGCCUGAACCAGCCAUCCCGCGUGCAGGAAGACGGCCCUAUGGGUUGUAAACUGCUUUUCCAGGGAGAGAAACUUACGCACGUGUUGCGUGACUGACGGUACCCUGGGAAUAAGCAUCGGCUAACUCCGUGCCAGCAGCCGCGGUAAACACGGAGAGUA